CGGAACUGGCAUCGCACUAUAUUUUACUCAGUCUGCGAGAUGGAGAGGACAUUUUAAAAGCAAGCACUUUCUGGUUUGUCAUUCACACACGCCCACACUCUGCUUGCUCCAGUCUCAACUCCGUCUGACAACAUUGCAUCUAUUGUCUCUCCUCGGAAUAAACUAAAGCCCCGUGCAUUAAAGAAUGUCUCGGGGUGCUUUAUUUAUUUAUUUACAGACAUUUGUUGUUGUUUUUAUAAUAGCAUGCAACGUGUCCCUGUCGCUAUUUGUACAGUUUUUUUCGAUUUAGGUAUUUUCGAUGUUUUUUUUUUUUUUUUUUUUUUUUUUUUAGGCCAAAAUAAGAAGGGAAAGGGAGAAAACUACAGGGGAGGUAAAGCAGAAAGACAUGCAUAAGGCUAGAAUGAGCAAAGAGUUCAUCUCAAGAAGCAGCAUGUACUUUAUGUCAUAUCCUAUGUACAUAAAGCUGGCACUCUGAGCCAGCUUCGCUUUGUUAGCACUUUCCAAGUCGACAACAGCAGAUGUAGCCAUUAUAGGCAGUGAAAACCGUGGACAUACAGCGGAGUCUGUCAUAUUACUCCGCAGGUUUGUAUAGCGAUGUUUUGAAGCCUGUAUUUAGAUUUAGAGUGAGGAUGGGUGAAUGAGAAAACGCAACAGAUAGGCUGGUGAUGAUAACUGCUGAAACAUCUGUUAAUCUAACAAAUAUGGGCCAUCGGUUUAAAGUUGCACUAAUCAAUAUCAACAAUUGGUCCAUGUGUAAUGUGAGAUCGGUGUUUCAAGCGAUGAACCCAUGGGAAAUUCACAGGCUGCGAAUUUACUGGCACGACCCAGCGUCACAUCAAUCACAGAAUAGACUAUCUAGCAGUUGUGCCAAAAAUCCAGGCUGCAUUCAAUGUCAGCAAUAUCAGUACAUGGUCAUCCCAAAAUAUAAUGCCGCUGUUGUGUUUAUUACUCUGCCAAAGAACACAGCGGAGUUAUGUGACGAUUGGCGGACAUUUGUUUGUUAAUCUAUUAUUCUG
ensembl:lncRNA